rnacentral:rRNA from 1 species
AUUGAACGCUGGCGGCAUGCCUUACACAUGCAAGUCGAACGGCAGCACGGGUGCUUGCACCUGGUGGCGAGUGGCGAACGGGUGAGUAAUACAUCGGAACAUGUCCUGUAGUGGGGGAUAGCCCGGCGAAAGCCGGAUUAAUACCGCAUACGAUCCACGGAUGAAAGCGGGGGGCCUUCGGGCCUCGCGCUAUAGGGUUGGCAGAUGGCUGAUUAGCUAGUUGGUGGGGUAAAGGCCUACCAAGGCGACGAUCAGUAGCUGGUCUGAGAGGACGACCAGCCACACUGGGACUGAGACACGGCCCAGACUCCUACGGGAGGCAGCAGUGGGGAAUUUUGGACAAUGGGCGAAAGCCUGAUCCAGCAAUGCCGCGUGUGUGAAGAAGGCCUUCGGGUUGUAAAGCACUUUUGUCCGGAAAGAAAUCCUUGACUCUAAUACAGUCGGGGGAUGACGGUACCGGAAGAAUAAGCACCGGCUAACUACGUG